AACGCAUCUUGCGCUCUCUGGUAUUCCGGGGAGCAUGCCUGUUUGAGAAUCGUAAAGCAAACUAAACUCAUAGCUGAUUUUGUCGGCUGUGGAAUUGGGCCGGAAUUCCUUUUCUCCUGGAGAGAAGGGGAUGGCCUGAAAUCGAGUAGGCCGUACCUGGGUAAAACCAGGUACCUCAGGACAGAAAAUUCGGCCCAAAGCAAAAUAAUAGUUAAUGCGGGUUUUUACCAGCGUUAUCCCAUUUUUUGCCUUGGGUUCUGGCCUGAAGAAUUUGGCCUGACACUUUUUUAUUCUCGGCCGUAAAACCGCUGAAGAAGAAAAAAGGAAUCAGAGUAUUUUGAUGGGCCGGUCAUCACGGCCGGCCUUGAACUCUUAGAUCUCAAAUCAGGCAAGACUACCCGCUGAACUUAA
rnacentral:misc_RNA from 1 species